UACGUAGGUGGCAAGCGUUGUCCGGAAUUACUGGGCGUAAAGGGCGCGUAGGCGGUGCGGUAAGUCUGCAGUGAAAUCUCUGGGCUCAACUCAGAGUCUGCUGUAGAAACUGCCGUGCUUGAGUGUGGGAGAGGUGAGUGGAAUUCCCGGUGUAGCGGUGAAAUGCGUAGAGAUGUGGAGGAAUACCGAUGGCGAAGGCAGCCCCCUGGGAUAACACUGACGCUCAUGCACGAAAGCGUGGGGAGCAAACAGG
rnacentral:rRNA from 1 species